GACGAACGCUGGCGGCGUGCUUAACACAUGCAAGUCGAACGGAAAGGCCCUGCUUUUGUGGGGUGCUCGAGUGGCGAACGGGUGAGUAACACGUGAGUAACCUGCCCUUGACUUUGGGAUAACUUCAGGAAACUGGGGCUAAUACCGGAUAGGAGCUCCUGCUGCAUGGUGGGGGUUGGAAAGUUUCGGCGGUUGGGGAUGGACUCGCGGCUUAUCAGCUUGUUGGUGGGGUAGUGGCUUACCAAGGCUUUGACGGGUAGCCGGCCUGAGAGGGUGACCGGCCACAUUGGGACUGAGAUACGGCACAGACUCCUACGGGAGGCAGCAGUGGGGAAUAUUGCACAAUGGGCGGAAGCCUGAUGCAGCAACGCCGCGUGCGGGAUGACGGCCUUCGGGUUGUAAACCGCUUUCGCCUGUGACGAAGCGUGAGUGACGGUAAUGGGUAAAGAAGCACCGGAUAACUACGUG
rnacentral:rRNA from 1 species